UCCCUCCCUCUCCCCACCCCUCACCUCCCCCUCGGCUCUUCCCUCCUUUCUCCGGACGCCACCUCCCGGAAUCCCUUUUUUCUGUUGUUUUGGAGCUAGCUUCUCGCUGGCGGCGCGGAGGGGCUGCGAGUGCUGGACGAGGAGGCGGGCUGGGCGCACAGCCCGCCACCCACCGGCCGGACACCGUGGGGCCGAGCGGACGACUGACCGCCAGCCGGUCGGGCGCGCCAUCUGCUCGCCGGAGCGCACUCUCCAAACUCCUGUUGAGUGUGUGCGUGCACGCCAGGGCUGGGGGUCUGUACGACCUGCGCGCCGGGACCGGGGACCGCGGGGGUUACCUUUGGAUGGGGUCCUUGGACUCAGGUCAGGGUUAGCUUCAGGCUCAGAAACUGCUGAGGAGCUAGGCAAACAAAAGAGGCCACUCUGCUAGUGGCCAGAAGUCGCCAGAGCGCCUCGUCGCGCCCCCUCCUUCCCUAGGGUGGGGGCUGGCCCCUCGGGAGGCGGGGAGAAGCCUCCUGAGCCGGCUGAGGGCUUGGGGGCCCGGGGGCUGGGGGCCGGGCCAGACCGGGCUGGGCCGCCGGGGUCGACGGAGUUGGCGGCCUGUUGUGUAAGCCUCAGUCCUUGUUUUCCCCAGCCUGGCUGGCUGGGAAGCCGGACACAUCCACCCUUGGCCUGGAUUCAAGAGGCUGCUGCUUUUCUCCAUGCCCCUCUUGGAUUUUCUGGAUAUUUGAAAACCCACUGGCCCAGGAGGAGGAGGAAGGAGCAGAUCUGCAGAGGAAUGUGAGGGAAGCCAGAAGGAGCUGGGAGCCAGAGCUGCCUGGAUUUCUGGAACGGUGGUUUCUGAGUGAUUCUCUUCCAUUUCAGAACAUUGUUCCAGUGGAAAGUGUCAAACAAAUUCUUGCCCUUUCAGAGCUGAUUUCUCCAAGUCACUUGACUUUUCUUCUGGGAGGGGAAGGAAGGAGAGACUGCCCGUUCUGGGGCUGCCAGGGGAAGGGAGGCAGAUUAUGGACAUGAUCCCUCCCUGCUCACAGCAGUGUGCUGGAGACCUAAUAAUAAUAGGGCAGUUAAUGGGCCGCGGACAUUGCUUUGAGUAGUGGGAGGCUGGAUAGCAUCUGUGGGUGCUGAGACCCCAGUUUAGGGGCUGAGAGACUUGAGUUGCUGUGACAGGCCUUGAGCUACUAGUGCAUUCUCAGUUCUGGGCGGGACCCUGUCUCAUCUCUCUCUACAACUGGCCCAGCCAUGGCGCUGAAAGGCCGAGCCCUCUAUGACUUCCGCAGCGAGAACAAGGAGGAGAUCAGCAUCCAUCAGGAUGAGGACCUGGUCAUCUUCAGUGAGACCUCGCUGGAUGGCUGGCUGCAGGGCCAGAACAGCCGAGGUGAGACGGGGCUCUUCCCUGCCUCUUACGUGGAGAUCAUCCGGUCUGGUCCCAACUCCAACCAUGCCGACUACUCCAGCAGCCCAGGCUCUCUGGGCACCCAGGUGAGCUCGUAUGACGUGACCAGCCCUUCCAGGAGUGGUGGGGGCAGUGGCUUCCUCUCACACCAGGGCAGCUUCGAGGAGGACGAUGACGACGACUGGGAUGACUGGGACGAUGGAUGCACAGUGGUGGAGGAGCCUCGGGCUGGUGGGCUGGGCACCAACGGGCACCCUCCUCUCAACCUCUCCUACCCUGGUGCCUACCCCAGCCAGCACAUGGCCUUUCGGCCCAAGCCAGCCCUGGAGCGGCAGGACAGCCUGGCAUCUGCCAAGCGUGGCAGUGUGGUGGGGCGCAACCUCAACCGUUUCUCGUGCUUUGUGCGCUCUGGAGUGGAGGCCUUUAUCCUGGGUGAUGUGCCCAUGAUGGCCAAGAUCGCUGAGACGUACUCCAUCGAAAUGGGCCCUCGUGGCCCCCAGUGGAAGGCCAACCCCCACCCGUUUGCCUGUUCAGUGGAGGACCCCACCAAACAGACCAAAUUCAAGGGCAUCAAAAGCUACAUCUCCUACAAGCUCACACCUACCCACGCUGGCUCGCCAGUCUACCGGCGCUACAAACACUUUGACUGGCUCUAUAACCGCCUGCUGCACAAGUUCACUGUCAUCUCGGUGCCCCACCUGCCAGAGAAGCAGGCCACAGGUCGCUUUGAGGAAGACUUUAUUGAGAAGCGGAAGCGUCGGCUCAUCCUCUGGAUGGACCACAUGACCAGCCACCCCGUGCUGUCCCAGUAUGAGGGCUUCCAGCAUUUCCUCAGCUGCCUGGAUGACAAGCAGUGGAAGAUGGGCAAACGCAGGGCAGAGAAGGAUGAGAUGGUGGGUGCCAGCUUCCUGCUCACCUUCCAGAUCCCCACGGAGCACCAGGACCUGCAGGAUGUGGAGGACCGUGUGGACACCUUCAAGGCCUUCAGCAAGAAGAUGGACGACAGCGUCCUGCAGCUCAGCACCGUAGCAUCCGAGCUGGUGCGCAAGCACGUGGGAGGCUUCCGCAAGGAGUUCCAGAAGCUGGGCAAUGCCUUCCAGGCCGUCAGUCAUGCUUUCCAGAUGGACCCCCCCUUUAGCUCCGAGGCCCUCAACAGUGCCAUUUCUCACACGGGCCGUACCUAUGAAGCUGUUGGUGAGAUGUUCGCUGAGCAGCCCAAGAACGACCUCUUCCAGAUGCUCGACACGCUGUCUCUCUACCAGGGCCUGCUCUCAAACUUCCCCGACAUCAUCCACCUGCAGAAAGGCAGAGGCUCACCCACCUUCUCUCACCCUGAGGAGCCCUCCACAGUGGACCAACCCAUUUGGGCCUACUCUUCCUCCUUCUGGACUGUGGUCGGGCAAGUUAGGGAGGGGGGCUUGGGAUCUGGCUGAGACGGAAUUGGGCAGGUUUGGGGGAUGAUGGGGGGAGGAGGAGUUCCAUGCUGGCCCUGUGGCUGGGACCCUUUUUCAGAGAAAGGAGCAGGAAAGUUGGGUCUCAGGUCUCCAGAAUUCUGUCUGGUCCACCCAGACAUCUGAAAGAUGGGAAGCGUGUGGCAGAGGCCAUGGAAGGAAGGAGACAGGAGGCUUAGGUGGGGUCAGGAGGCCAGGGUCUGGACAGAUAUUGCUUCUGAGAUGACCGUGAGGGUGUUUUUCUCCCCUCAGUGUCCCCCUUAGUAAAAUGGAUCGUGGAGUCUGCUUGGCACUGAGUUGAAGCCCACCAGUUCUGCCCCCUGGCCCAGCCCCCGGAGCGCAGUCCAGGGGUCUUCUAAGAGAAGAGGAACCAUGUUACUAACCAUCUAAACCCUGGCCAGUCUGGGGGUGAAGGGGGCCCCGGCCAUAGUUACGCUGGGACAAGGGGAAAUAGUACCUGUGCAGGGCCCCUCCCUGCGAGCCAGCCAGGGCAGGGAAGUUACUGUGGUCCCCUGCAUUUUCCAGAUGAGGCAUAGCAAGGUGGGAUGAUACGCAGAGCAGGAAUUGGGGCCCAGGGGUGUCACUGCACAGCCCAGGCUGUUUCCCCUGUGCCAGACAGAUGGGGUGAAGGAGCUCCCCAAGGGAUGGGUGCGUGGGUAGAUGAGCCAGAGGGGGAAGGAUGAGGGAGGCUGGGUACUCUAGUACUACUAACUCAGCUGCAUGCUUGGUGGGCUGGAAGCAGGCCCAGGACUGCAGAGCGAACGUGGCCAUGGGACUCAGGUUGGCCAAGGCAGCAUGUCCCCUGCAGGACCUAGUGCUUGUCUGGGGGAUGGGUGGGUCCAGCCUCUGGGUUCCAGGCCGUCAUCACCUGGCCGCUUCUAAACCCUCCCCUCCUAGGGUUCCGUAAACAAAGAGAAGCCUCUUGCUACCAGCUACCACCAACUGGUUCUUGCUGUGACUGAAAAGCAGUCUGCACACGGUUGCACGCAGUGUCCUGAGCUCUGACUCUGUCGGGUGCUAGCCUAAGUGCUUUGUACAGAUGAGUUCAGUUAAACCUUAACUACGCUAUAGGGCGGGCACAGAUACCCCAUUUUUCAGAUCUGGAAACUCAAAAUCACUGUGCCACCGAGAACAGUUGUCAGCAGCAUCAGACCUGGUCCAGCCUGUCCCGUUUGACAGCUGGGAGACCUCCAGCCCAGGCAAGAGCAGUGGCUUGCUGGAGGCGACACAGCUGGGACUAGAACUCAGACCUCCUGUCCCUGACCUGAGGGGGGCCUCUGUAGUUACUUCCAGCAUGUAGAGCCUUGGGCGUGACAUAGAGUAAAUGACCGAAAAAAGGAUCUUGAAUGCCUUGGACAUCUUGAGUGAAGUCAAAAGAACACAUCUUGGAGGCCCCCAGCGUGCUGUUGGCGCCUUCGCAAAGGUGAAGGAGAGCCAACGCAUGAGUGACGAGGGCCGCAUGGAGCAGGAUGAGGCAGAUGGCAUUCGUAGGCGC